rnacentral:rRNA from 1 species
UACGUAGGGUGCGAGCGUUAAUCGGAAUUACUGGGCGUAAAGCGUGCGCAGGCGGUUCGUUAAGUCAGAUGUGAAAUCCCCGGGCUUAACCUGGGAAUUGCAUUUCAAACUGGCCGACUAGAGUACGGUAGAGGGAGGUAGAAUUUCCUGUGUAGCGGUGAAAUGCGUAGAUAUAGGAAGGAAUACCAGUGGCGAAGGCGGCCUCCUGGAUCGAUACUGACGCUGAGGCGCGAAAGCGUGGGGAGCAAACAGG